AUAAUCUCCAUUAUCGACCUCCUCUAAGCCCUCAGGCUCUAAAUUGACUUGAAUUUCUUGGCAUUCCUCCUCUUCUAUAAUACUUUCCAUCUUUAGGUAACAACUUACUUCUUUAGAAGAGAUAUGGUGAUCAUCUUCAAGGCUAAUUUCAGUUCCAUCUAUUUGGUUAGUAAGCUCAAGAAUAACAUCUUCUUCUAGAUGACUUUCUGAUUCUUUGGAUAUCUGAACAAUUUGGGUUUUAUUACAAUCCCCAAUUUGUUUAAUCUCAAUAGAUUCUAAGCUAGGAUUUUUGUUGUUAACCCUUUUAUUGUGUGGGGUGCCCAUUUCAUUUGGAAUUCCCAGUCCAACCCUAUCAAUAUACCUUCCCUUUACAUACCUGACUUUUUUCUUACCAGAAUCCUUUUGCUUAUCGAGAGAAUACCAUAAGGCACCCAAACUAGUUAGUAAAAUACCCAAAAGUAAUUUAUCAGUUACAGUAUUUCCAAAAAUAAAACAUCCAAGUAAACAUGUCAGAAGUUGCUUCACAUUACCUGCAAUAUUCAUAGCUAGAGGUGAUACUAUGGAAGAACUCAUUAGGCUUAAAAUAUUUAAACCAAAAGCCAAUAUUCCUGCAAAUAUUAACAGUACAUUUGUCAUCAAAAAUGAAAUUUUAUCCAUAUUUUCGCUUUUUUUUGAUAUCUUUUGUGCUUCUCCAAGAAUUACUGAAAAAAAUCCCAAAGUUAAAGAUGCAACAGGUCCAACAUAUUGAAGCAUAAUUAUUGCAUUAAUCUUCAGGUUCUCAACCUGUAACUUCUGAGCAACAAUUCCUUUCAAAGAAGAAACACAACAUCCCAUGAAUACUAUAAACAAGCCAUAAAUACUUAGUUCUGGAGUACCAUUCACUGUGAUGGCUACUCCUACAAUAACCAAAAUGACAGGAGGAAUCUGAGACAAUCUAUAUUUGUGUUUGAAAAAAAGGAUACCCAAUGCCAUAGUGAAGAGUGGAAUUGUAGUUCUUGCCAUUUGAUGAAGAGAAAUGGAAACCAAGUGUAAAGAGGCAUUGGAGAACCAAAUAUUCAGUGCCACAAUUAUACUAAAAGCCAAAAUACUCUUUUUUUCUUGGAAACUCAAUUCUCCAAUAGAAGAAAAUCUGGAUUUAUCUCCAAAUCUUUUAUUAACAAAACCUCCAAACACAUGGCUUAGAACUGAAGCAAUGAUCAUAUGAAUUAGGGACAUUGUAAUAGGAUAAGGAAAGUAAUUAUUCAUUAACCAUUUGGAAUAAAGCGUAAAUAUUAAGCUUAGUACAAUCCACAUUAAGAAAACCAAAUGCU
rnacentral:antisense_RNA from 1 species